AUACGGAGGGUGCAAGCGUUACUCGGAAUUACUGGGCGUAAAGAGUACGUAGGUGGUUUAUUAAGUCAGAUGUGAAAGCCCCGGGCUCAACCUGGGAACUGCAUUUGAAACUAGUAAACUAGAGUAUGGUAGAGGGGGGUAGAAUUUCUAGUGUAGCGGUGAAAUGCGUAGAUAUUAGAAGGAAUACCAGUGGCGAAGGCGGCCCCCUGGACCAAUACUGACACUGAGGUACGAAAGCGUGGGUAGCGAACAGGAUUAGAAACCCUAGUAGUCC
rnacentral:rRNA from 1 species